rnacentral:rRNA from 1 species
UACGGAGGGGGCUAGCGUUGUUCGGAAUUACUGGGCGUAAAGCGCACGUAGGCGGCUUUGCAAGUUAGAGGUGAAAGCCCGGGGCUCAACCCCGGAAUUGCCUUUAAAACUGCAUCGCUAGAAUUGUGGAGAGGUAAGUGGAAUUCCGAGUGUAGAGGUGAAAUUCGUAGAUAUUCGGAAGAACACCAGUGGCGAAGGCGGCUCACUGGCCCGUUACCGACGCUCAGGCGCGACAGCGUGGGGAGCAAACAGG